rnacentral:rRNA from 1 species
UACGUAGGGUGCAAGCGUUGUCCGGAUUUAUUGGGCGUAAAGAGCUCGUAGGCGGUUUUGAAAGUCGGGUGUGAAACCUCCAGGCUCAACCUGGAGACGCCACUCGAUACUUCAAUGACUUGAGUUCGGUAGGGGUAAGCGGAAUUCCUGGUGUAGCGGUGAAAUGCGCAGAUAUCAGGAGGAACACCGACAGCGAAGGCAGCUUACUGGGCCGAUACUGACGCUGAGGAGCGAAAGCGUGGGGAGCAAACAGG